UACGAAGGGGGCUAGCGUUGCUCGGAAUCACUGGGCGUAAAGCGCACGUAGGCGGAUUGUUAAGUCAGGGGUGAAAUCCUGGAGCUCAACUCCAGAACUGCCUUUGAUACUGGAUGGCUUGAGUUUGGGAGAGGGAUGCGGAAUUCCAGGUGUAGCGGUGAAAUGCGUAGAUAUCUGGAGGAACACCGGUGGCGAAGGCGGCAUCCUGGACCAACACUGACACUGAGGAGCGAAAGCCAGGGGAGCAAACGGG
rnacentral:rRNA from 1 species